GUGCCAGCCGCCGCGGUAAUACCGGCAGCCCGAGUGAUGGCCGAUCUUAUUGGGCCUAAAGCGUCCGUAGCUGGCUGCGCAAGUCCGUCGGGAAAUCCACUCGCCCAACGAGUGGGCGUCCGACGGAAACUGCACAGCUUGGGACCGGAAGGCUCGAAGGGUACGUCCGGGGUAGGAGUGAAAUCCCGUAAUCCCGGACGGACCACCGAUGGCGAAAGCACUCUGAGAAGACGGAUCCGACAGUGAGGGACGAAAGCUAGGGUCUCGAACCGGAUUAGAAACCCGGGUAGUCC
rnacentral:rRNA from 1 species